AGAGUCUUCUCAAAGCCAGACUAGGCUGGACAUCCAAGAUGGCUUCUUCCCUCAAGUGACUGGUGCCUGAGCUGGGAUGGCUGGAGCAGCUGGAGACUGGGCAGACAUCUCCCUUGCCACAUGGCUAGGUUGGGCUUCACAGCAUUGGCUUGCAGGAGGCAGGGUGUGUGAAAGAGGCAGUGGGAGUGAUCCACUCAUGGGAAGGGAUAUGUUAUCGCUGAGCCUUGUUUAGAAUUGCUUGUGCAUGCUGAUAAGAAAAGGAAGACCAACUUUUAGUUGGUUUUAGUAAACUUUUUAAAUUCUUUAUAGACAAUGCAUCCCUUUAAUCUCUGUACUUUUAAGUGGACCAUUCCCACUGCCCCCAGCCUUGGUACACCACUUCCUCACAGCAUGGCUGUUUCCAGAGAGUUGGACUUUUUGCCUCAUGACUAGCCUCCCCCAGAGCCUUCCAGGAAGAAAGGCAAAAUCUGUGAGCCUUCUUAUGACCUAGCCUCAGAAGCCACAGAGCAUUGCAUCCCCUGCACUCUGUGGGGGCAAAAGCAAGUUGGAGGACCAUCCUGGAUUCAUGGGGAGAAGACCAAACAAGUGUGAGUGCUGGAAAGGAGACUUCCCUGUGGGCCAGCUUUGGAGAUGAGUGACCACAUUCUCCAUUACCAUUUGCUCCACGUGGUUCAGAACCACAUGAUUAUUUAACCAAAGCUCGGGUUGACUACACUUCAACUAACUGGAACCUACUGUAACGGCCCAGACCAUAAGAAAUUGGCAGCUUCGACUUUAUAUCUCUUGGAACACUCACUCAUGGAAUCCAGCCACCAUCCUGUGAGGAAGCCUAAGCAGGCCCACAGAAAGCCCCUUGUCGAGAAGAACCAAGGACCGUGGCCAACAGCCUCCAUCCGGUUCCCAGCUGACAGCCAACACCAAGUUGCCAGCCAUGUGAGCCCUGUUGGAAGUGAAUCCCCCAGCCUCAGUCUACAGCUGACACCAGUUAGAAGCAGCAUUCCAACAAGAAGAUCCACAAGAUGAAUUUGCAAAUAGCAGUUUCCAAACUUUUGAAUUGUUCAACCUGAGCAACAGUUCCAUCUCCAUGAAUACUUCACAUAUUGUUUAUCCUGCUCUUAAAUGUUACCUGAUUCUGCUACUACAAAUCAAUCAAAGAACUGGUGAUUUGUCUUGGGGUCUUAAAUUAAUUUUGAGCAGCUCUGCAAGCUGUGUCCCGUGAGAGAGCUUGUGGGGAGGAAAAUCAAAGAAAAGCUAAAAAAAAAAAAAAAAAAGAAAAGGAGAACAAAAACAAAAGAACACCCACAGGUUUGCAAAUUGAGGUCUGAAUAAUACACCAGUCCCAUUAAAUUAUGUUGUUAAUCCCAAGACAAUUAGUCUUCCUGUGAGAAGUGUAUGUAGGAGCACAUUCUAAGUACAUAGAUGGUUGUCUGAAACUCAGAAUAGUAUCGCAUAUCAACCCAAAAUGAUCUCUCCACAGAUCAUAAAUGACAUUACUUGAAAUAUCUUAAUUUGUAUAUCAGGUUCUUCGACAUGGGAAAAUUCCCUGAAUAUUUAUGCAAAAUGAAAGCAAAGAACACUAUAAAUUGAAAUGCAAUAAAAGGAGUUUAUUUCCAAGCCACAGCUUGGAAUCAUCUCCGUUUUGAAUGUUGCUGGCAAAGAAUGUAUUCUUGAUUAGGCUUUGUUGAUAGGCAAAAUGUGGAGCACAUUUCCAGUUCUAAUAAGUCUCUGAGGCUCUAGAAAUUCAUUUCUGAGCUACAUAAAAUAGAUCAGCACAAUUUCUCCUCUUCUCUCCUACCAAGAGAAAAAGAAGCACCCAACCAGAAUAGAACUGACAGUAUACAAGAGAAUUCACAAUGUCUAGGAUGAUCUCUGAACAUAUAUACAAAGAUGAAAUGCCAUGGAGGGGAGAAAAGUUAGAAGGUCUUAAGAAAGGGUUGGCCAAUGCCAAUGGUAUAGGAGAAAAAGAUGGAAGGAAUGGGGAAGCAUAAUUGGGAGGGGAGCAGGGAGAAAUUCAUGAUGAUAUUACAUCCUGUGUUAAUAGAAUUGCUUCUAGAGGCAACUGUGCCAGAAGUUACUGCCCCCAGAAUUUGCAGAUAUCUUAUAGAAGGGAGAAUGAGAACCCCAGGGGUCAGUUCCCCAUUUUGCCACUGGCCAGCUGCAUGAUCUUAGAAAUAUUAAAUAUUCUGCAUUUGUUUUCCCAGAUAUGUAAAAACAGAAAUUGCCACAUUACCUACUCGUCCUACAGAAAUCUCUGAACUAGAAUUCUUUGAAAGUCCAUGCGACUUGUAACUUAUAUGAUACAAUUUCACAGUUAAAAUUUUUGUCAUCCCCAUUCUAAGACUCUAUCCAAGGUGUAAACCUCAUAAGCACUAAGGCCACACCUCAGCAUCUUGGUUCUGCUUCUUACCUUGCAGGCAGGCUCAAAACUGCCACAGAACCAGAGAGAAUGUCAUUAGUUUUCUUACUUUUAUGGUUAUUAUCGACCCUUAACUACAGGUCUCCCUCUUGGUGGCUUCCCUCCUCCAUGGCUCCUCAUGUCAUGGGCUACAUUUUUGUUGUCAGAUUACCUCCAAACACACGGUCCCCCAGCAAACAUUAAGUCUAAUAAAAACAUUAACCAAAAGGUAUUAAAAGUUCAGCCUGCAUUUUUACGUUUCCUCUGGAGUCUUAUUCUUGAUAAUUUACAUAACUGCUUCAGAAUACCGAACAUGCAUUUUUAAAUGUCACUGCUUGCAGGGAUUAUUUGUAUAUUGCCUUAAUUAGCCUCAACUUCAAAAUCUGGUUGAUCAGAAUCGGGG